rnacentral:rRNA from 1 species
AGAGUUUGAUCAUGGCUCAGAACGAACGCUGGCGGCAUGCCUAACACAUGCAAGUCGAACGCGACCUUUCGGGGUCGAGUGGCGCACGGGUGAGUAGCGCGUGGGAACCUGCCCAGAAGUGGGGGAUAACCGAGGGAAACUUCGGCUAAUACCGCAUACGCCCGGGGAAACUCGGGGAAAGAUUUAUCGCUUUUGGAGGG